rnacentral:rRNA from 1 species
UACGUAGGGUGCAAGCGUUGUCCGGAAUUAUUGGGCGUAAAGAGCUCGUAGGCGGUUUGUCGCGUCGACUGUGAAAACCCGAGGCUUAACCUCGGGCCUGCAGUCGAUACGGGCAGACUGGAGUACUGCAGGGGAGACUGGAAUUCCUGGUGUAGCGGUGGAAUGCGCAGAUAUCAGGAGGAACACCGGUGGCGAAGGCGGGUCUCUGGGCAGUAACUGACGCUGAGGAGCGAAAGCGUGGGGAGCGAACAGG